GCGCCCGUAGCUCAUCCGGAUAGAGCAUCGGCCUUCUAAAGCAUAAUUGGACCCAUAAUAGAAAACAAGAACUGUUAUGGUGGAUGGUGCUGUAUCGGUGAACCCUGUAAAAUGGCAACACCGAGGAAACCGAAUGAGUAGUAAAGGGGUAAAUUCAGUUUAUCGGUAACUACUCUAAGGCAUAACGUCUAGGGUUCCGUAGAGGCCAUAUGCACCAUGCCUGAGAAGGCAAAGAUAUGGUCCAGACCACAAACAAGACCACCAGCUUGGUAGUGAAAACUAUAGUGGUAUGAAGCCGAGGGUAGCAGGUUCGAGUCCUGUCGGGCGCG
rnacentral:tRNA from 1 species